GUAGUCAUAUGCUUGUCUCAAANAUUAAGCCAUGCAUGUCUAAGUAUAAGCAAUUAUACCGCGAAACUGCGAAUGGCUCAUUAUAUAAGUUAUCGUUUAUUUGAUAGUACCUUACUACUUGGAUAACCGUGGUAAUUCUAGAGCUAAUACAUGCUAAAAAUCCCGACUUCGGAAGGGAUGUAUUUAUUAGAUUAAAAGCCAAUGCCCUCUGGGCUCUCUGGUGAUUCAUGAUAACUUCUCGAAUCGCAUGGCCUUGCGCCGGCGAUGGUUCAUUCAAAUUUCUUCCCUAUCAACUUUCGAUGUUUGGGUAUUGGCCAAACAUGGUUGCAACNGGUAACGGAGGGUUAGGGCUCGACCCCGGAGAAGGAGCCUGAGAAACGGCUACUACAUCCAAGGAAGGCAGCAGGCGCGCAAAUUACCCAAUCCCGACACGGGGAGGUAGUGACAAUAAAUACUGAUACAGGGCNCUUUUGGGUCUUGUAAUUGGAAUGAGUACAAUUUAAAUCCCUUAACGAGGAACAAUUGGGGGGCAAGUCUGGUGCCAGCCGCC
rnacentral:rRNA from 1 species